rnacentral:rRNA from 1 species
CCUACGGGUGGCAGCAGUGGGGAAUAUUGCACAAUGGGGGAAACCCUGAAGCAGCGACGCCGCGUGAGGGAAGAAGGAAUUCGGUAUGUAAAGCUCUAUUAGCAGGGAAGAAAAUGACGGUACCUGAGUAAGAAGCACCGGCUAACUACGUGCCAGCAGCCGCGGUAAUACGCAGGGGGCAAGCGUUAUCCGGAUUUACUGGGGGUAAAGGGAGCGUAGGCGGGGCACCAAGUCUGGAGUGAAAUGCCGCAGCUUAACUGCGGAACUGCUUUUGAAACUGGCAGUCUAGAGUGCGGGAGGGGUAAGCGGAAUGCCUGGUGUAGCGGUGAAAUGCGUAGAUAUUAGGCGGAACACCGAUGGCGAAGGCGGCUUACUGGACCGUAACUGACGCUGAGGCUCGAAAGCGUGGGGAGCAAACAGGAUUAGAUACCCCAGUAGUC